rnacentral:misc_RNA from 1 species
GAUGAAGAACGCAGCGAAAUGCGAUAAGUAAUGUGAAUUGCAGAAUUCAGUGAAUCAUCGAAUCUUUGAACGCACAUUGCGCCCCCUGGUAUUCCGGGGGGCAUGCCUGUCCGAGCGUAAUUACAACCCUCAAGCUCAGCUUGGUGUUGGGCCCCGCCGCCCCGGCGGGCCCUAAAGUCAGUGGCGGUGCCGUCCGGCUCCGAGCGUAGUAAUUCUUCUCGCUCUGGAGGUCCGGUCGUGUGCUCGCCAGCAACCCCCAAUUUUUUUCAGGUUGACCUCGGAUCAGGUAGGGAUACCCGCUGAACUUAAGCAUAUCAAUAAGCGGAGGA